AUGCUACUCCCUCCGUUCAGAAUUACUUGUCACAGAAAUGGAUGUAUCUAGAUGUAUUUUAGUUCUAGAUACAUCCAUUUCCGAGACAAGUAAUUCGGAACGGAGGGAGUAUAUG
rnacentral:pre_miRNA from 1 species